GCGAGCUCCCAGCCUACUGAGUUUUUCUCAUUAUUUAAACUCAGCUGGCGGAUAACAAAGACGUGAGCGAGACGAGGUGAGACUUCCGGACGGUGGCAGGGAACGAGGAAAUCACAGUGAGCGGCGCCGACUGUAGGGGUCGGGGGCGUCCCAUGACGGUGAGCUGGGCGUGAGGCCACGGGGCUGUCCACCAGCUGGCCGCCGUCCUCAGCAGCCCGCUCCCAAGAGCGCCCCCGUCUGUGCAUCUCAUGCAUAUGAUCUGUUUUAGGAGGAAAGAGUCUUUGAUUUGAUGACCUCAUGUGCCGUUGGGAUUGCAAGUUAAUACCUUUGUGCACCAAACUGCAGUAUUACGCUUUUCAACUUGCUAGAAGUAAAUAAGGACAGCGAAUCAUAAUAGCUAACAGAAAACAAGUGGCUAAGAGGAAACAAGAUUGUGGACAUGGCUCCUACAGCGUUGCCCUAGCGACCUUGAAGAUGGCCUCGGGUGCUACAGGAAGGACUUGGGGCCAAUUUAAAUAAAUAGGAAAGAUGCUUAGAUGGCAGAAACCUUCCUGACUGGAGUCUCUUAGUCCUUGAGAAGUAGCUUGAAUGUCAACAUCUGGCCCCGUUGCCAGAUAAAACCUCAGUUCAACAACCCACCAUGGAAUUUUUCCCUGUUUAAUGAGCUAAAUGCUCUACUGGAAUCCAAGCAAUGUAUAUGUUCCCAUCCAACUCAGGAAGGGACCCGCUUUCUCAGAAAAAGCACAAACCAGCCAGUGUUCUGCAGACCUCUCUUUCCAAGCCUUACAAAUAUUAGAUACUAGCCAUCUGUUUUGCUGAUCGUGUCCCCAUCCAUCAUUCAUCAGUCCCCCGAUCUUCUGGGGUGAAAAUGCUGCCCCCUCGUUUUCUGGGUUCCCAUCCUGAGGAUCUGUCAGGCAUCCUGGUGUGUAGAGAGGAGUUGUGUGUGCAGACAUUUCACGCUGUGACAAACAGUGCCAGCCCACUCCCAUUGACCAACAGUCUGUGAUACAUUCAGAGCAGAACUUUAAAAUAAAUGAAAAGAAUUGAGUUAAAAAAAAUUUAAUAACAGCUUCAUGGAGAUGUCAUUCACACGCUCUACAACUGACUCACUUCAAGUGUGUGAUUCAGUGGUUUGUGAUAUAUUCACAUUUGUGCGACCAUCACUACAAUCCAUUUUAGAACCUUUUAUCAUUCUGAAAAGAAAUCCUGCGCCCAGUGUCAGCCCCCAUUUCCUCUCUACUCCCCCCAGCCCUGGGUCACGUACUAAUCUAUGCUCCACCCUAGAUUUUCCUAUUCUGAAUUGUACAGAUGUAUGGCUUUCUGUGUGUAGCUCCUUUCUCUUAAUGUUUUGGAGUUCAUUCGCAUUGUAACGCAUUAUCGGUACUGAAUUCCUCUUUCUGGCUGAAUAAUAUUCCCUUGUUUGGAUAUGCCACCUUUUAUUUAUUUGUUAGUGGGUGGACAU